GACGAACGCUGGCGGCGUGCUUAACACAUGCAAGUCGAACGGAAAGGCCCUGCUUUUGUGGGGUGCUCGAGUGGCGAACGGGUGAGUAACACGUGAGUAACCUGCCCUUGACUUUGGGAUAACUUCAGGAAACUGGGGCUAAUACCGGAUAGGAGCUCCUGCUGCAUGGUGGGGGUUGGAAAGUUUCGGCGGUUGGGGAUGGACUCGCGGCUUAUCAGCUUGUUGGUGGGGUAGUGGCUUACCAAGGCUUUGACGGGUAGCCGGCCUGAGAGGGUGACCGGCGACAAUGGGGGGGAGGUGAGGCGCAGCAGCCUACGGGGGGAAGCAGUGGGGGAGAAUAUAGAAUGGGCGGAGGCAUGCUGCAGCAGCGCCGCGGGGGGGAGGAUGGCCUUCGGGGUGUAGAAAGCUUUCGCCGGUGAUGAAGAGGGGGUGGCGGUAAUAGGUAAAAAAGCACCAGCUAACAACGUC
rnacentral:rRNA from 1 species